AGUGAACGCUGGCGGUAGGCCUAACACAUGCAAGUCGAACGGCAGCACAGUAAGAGCUUGCUCUUACGGGUGGCGAGUGGCGGACGGGUGAGGAAUACAUCGGAAUCUACUUUUUCGUGGGGGAUAACGUAGGGAAACUUACGCUAAUACCGCAUACGACCUACGGGUGAAAGCAGGGGAUCUUCGGACCUUGCGCGAUUGAAUGAGCCGAUGUCGGAUUAGCUAGUUGGCGGGGUAAAGGCCCACCCAGGCGACGAUCCGUAGCUGGUCUGAGAGGAUGAUCAGCCACACUGAAACUGAGACACGGUCCAGCCUCCUACGGGAGGCAGCAGGGGGGAAUAUUGGACAAUGGGCGCAAGCCUGAUCCAGCCAUACCGCGUGGGUGAAGAAGGCCUUCGGGUUGUAAAGACCUUUUGUUGGGAAAGAAAAGCAGCAGGUUAAUACCCCGCUGUUCUGACGGUACCCAAAGAAUAAGCACCGGCUAACUUCGUG
rnacentral:rRNA from 1 species